UUCCCUUUGGUUCUCUUCCGUUCCCAAAUGUUCGUUUGCUCAGAGAACGCACCAUUUCCAAUCGAAAACUGUUCCUUCAAUCUCUCAGCUACACCACCAAAUCUCAAAAGACAUGUGCCUCCAAGCUCCUGGAAAAUCCACCCCAAAGUGGACAUGCCUGUGAGGGCCAUGGCUCCAGCCACAGCAAACCCAGUCAUCGCUCCCACAAACACAAACCCAGCAAAAAACAGCAGAGUGAUGAAGAUCAACAGAAGCAGUGAGCUCAAAACCAGAAGCGUCACUGAUGCCAAGGAGCUGAAACCCAUCAAGAACACAAGCGACCCUCCAAUUUCCAAGCCUCCCAUGGCUCCCAAGACCACCUUGGUGUUUUGCGAUUUCGUUUGGUCUUGAUCUCAUCAGUUUUCGAUUCUUCAUCUAAUCAGUUUUCGAUCAUCUCACCCCGCUUCGAACUCGCCGCCUCCUCCUUCUCCCAUUCCAAAAUCCCAAUCUCGUGCGCUUUCAAUCCUUGCUGCGAAAUCGGCGCCAAGAACUGAGGUGGUGUUUUGCUGCUUUAGAUAAAGCUGUUUGGUGGUUGUUUUUGGUUCUCUUAAGCUAGAGCGAUUUGGGGAGGGGGGCACUUUUCCUAGGAUUCGAAGUGGUGACCAAGGGGGGCCUUUUCGUGUGGCUUUUUGAAAUUUUUGUUUUUUUGAGGGAGCUUUUUUAACACGAAAAAGGACAUGGAGUUGUUAUAAACUGCCUUUGGUUUCAUUUGAUUGAUGUUUUGGGUUGAUUUUCAGACAUAUAUGUUUACUACAAAAUUGAAGCUUGAUCUUUAGAUUGUUAGAAGAGACUUUGAGAAAACUCAUUUGUUGAAUUAGAGUAUGAAAUUUUGAUAUCUGUUUAAAGGGAAAAAAGGGAAAAACAGAAAAAUGGAAUUGAAAAAUAUAAAAAAAUUCUUGAUUGUUUAGUGUGACUUUUGCAUAGAUAACUUUUGAUCAUAUACUCUUUGUUUCAAAUGCAUCUAGGAUCAUUUAAACAGCCCUCUUCCUGUGCUUUUACAGUGUUUUUUCUUUGAACUAGAGGUGUCAGAUGAAUGUGCUUUUGCAUCUUCUUUCUUUGAACUAGAGGUGUCAAACUAGACGGGCCGGCCUAGCACGGCACGAGCGCAAAUAUUAGUAGGCCGUGCUAGGUUUUUGAGAAAUAGUAAUGGGAAACUCCAA